rnacentral:rRNA from 1 species
GACGAACGCUGGCGGCGUGCCUAAUACAUGCAAGUCGAGCGAAGUUUUUCUGGUGCUUGCACUAGAAAAACUUAGCGGCGAACGGGUGAGUAACACGUAAAGAACCUGCCUCAUAGACUGGGACAACUAUUGGAAACGAUAGCUAAUACCGGAUAACAGUAUUUCUCGCAUGGGAGAUAUUUAAAAGUUGGUUAUGCUAACACUAUGAGAUGGCUUUGCGGUGCAUUAGCUAGUUGGUGGGGUAAAGGCCCACCAAGGCGACGAUGCAUAGCCGACCUGAGAGGGUGAUCGGCCACACUGGGACUGAGACACGGCCCAGACUCCUACGGGAGGCAGCAGUAGGGAAUCUUCCGCAAUGGGCGAAAGCCUGACGGAGCAACGCCGCGUGAGUGAAGAAGGAUUUCGGUUCGUAAAGCUCUGUUGUUAGGGAAGAAUGGAUAUGUAGUAACUAUACAUAUAAGAGA